AUAUAAGACUUACGUUUCGUCUCGUAGCUCAAAAUUGAGUUUUUUGGUAGGCUUGUUAUUUGCUUCGAGGUCCUCCAAUUCAUCCAUACUCACAAUUUGACCAAUAACCUCUGCAUAAUCAAACAUAUAAAUAUAUAUUGACUCAAAUUAAACAGAUGUAUCUAUAUAGAUACUUACCAACAAAUAUGUGGGGAUUAGCUCGACCACUGUGGAUGAAUUUGAACUUAGUUAAGGUAAGGAAGCUAGCAUCAGAAACAGGGUCACUGUCCAUGACCAUAGUUCCAUUGGUAAAUGACAUCUUGUACAGAUGCGAGGUUGGUCUGAAUUGACCAUUUGCAUAGCUGAGUGCAAAUGUCUCAAUGAAAACCCAGUUACCAAUAGGAAGUCUAUUGACAUAUUUGUUUAGCAAUUCCUUCUUCACAGAUGCAUGAAUCUUUUUACUCUGCAUCAAUGAAAGACAUAAGAUCCAUUAGUAAUAGAAAAUAAUUGUAACAUUCGAUAACGUAAACAGUAGACCUUACCAUCGAGUCUGACAACACCAACUCAAGUGUUUCACCACCAUUUAGACGCCAUGAAUGGAUGACCUUGACUUGAACCCUCCAUGAGAUUUUGUAGGGGCGAACGUCUUUCAAGAAAGCAAAGGUAGCAGCCAUAAUGUUGAUUGAUAUUUGAGUAGCGUAAUUGUUGGAGCAGAUUUUUGGAAAUCAAGCAGUUUAAACAGAAUUCGUGGAGAAGAUUGUAAGGCAAGAAAAUCUUUGUCAUUUAAUUGUUACGAAUAAACGGGUGAGAGGAGAAGGUGUAAUCGUGUUCUUGAGAAUGUUACAACUUUCGAUAGAGGUUGGGCUUGACCCAAUUGUUUUUUGUAAUCAACAAAUCGUGUGACCCAAAAAGAAUAUUUGUUUGUAAGGUAUUAAAGACAAUGGCAGGGUUGUAAAUAAGUUGGAAGUCCAGGAUUUAUUUUAUAAAUGUUUCUGAAAAUGUAUAUAUAGAUUUAUGGUUUUUA